rnacentral:rRNA from 1 species
AUUGAACGCUGGCGGCAGGCCUAACACAUGCAAGUCGAGCGAGAGGCGGACGGGAGAGUCAUGUCUGGGAAACUGCCUGAUGGAGGGGGAUAACUACUGGAAACGGUUGCUGAUAACGCCUACCUUCGGCUGUGCCCAGAUGGGUUGAGCUAGUUGGUGGGGUAUAGGCUCACCAAGGCGACGAUCUCUAGCUGGUCUGAGAGGAUGAACAGCCACACUGGAACUGAGACACGGUCCAGACUCCUACGGGAGGCAGCAGUGGGGAAUAUUGCACAAUGGGCGCAAGCCUGAUGCAGCCAUGCCGCGUGUAUGAAGAAGGCCUUCGGGUUGUAAAGUACUUUCAGCGGGGAGGCGUUACCCGCAGAAGAAGCACCGGCUAACUCCGUGCCAGCAGCCGCGGUAAUAC